UAGUGCAUUUGAAUGGGGAUAUAUAUUUAAAACCCACACUUUCUCCUGGGUUGGAUCCCCCUUUUUUUAAAGAUUGCUGGUUCCGCCCCUGAACCCUUUCUCCCUUCCUAUUUGGUAAAGACAUAUAAGAUUGUGUCCAUAGUACACGGAUGCCCCAUCCUCACUAUCAUUUUCUAUGUUCAGUGGACUUUGAAAAUGGAGGAAAAAACUCUAAUUUGGCAUUAAAAUUAGAAAGAUGAUAUCAUAGGGAACAUGUGUACAAAGUUUCAAGUUGAUUGGACUUCAUCAAAAACUACCUCAUCCAAAAACUUUUACCUGAAGCAGGACGAACGAACGGAGGCACAGACUAGAAAACAUAAUGCCCAUAAAUGAGGCAUAAUAAAUAUUUGCAUUGGAAAAAACCCUUAAUAAUUUGUAUAACAACAGCCAGUCUAGCCUGUCAAAAUUCAGUAACUACAAGCUAUUUAUCUAUUCUGGAAAGAUAUGACUGUUUCAACGCCACUUGUAGUACUCCUGGCUAUUACAAGGCUGCCAGUUUUUAUUGGCGGAAGCCAUAUAAAUGGCACCUGAAAAAACACUGACCUUCAGUGUCUUAAUGUUGUCCAAAGUUUCUGUUGAAAUGUUUGUUAUGGUUUGAGGUAUUGCUGAUUAAAAGUGUAGAUGUCUGAAUAAACAAAAAACAUCCUUUAUCAUGUUUUAGAUUAAAAAGUAAUUAUAUCCAAAUUUCCAAUUUAGUUUCAGCACAAACGUUAAAGAUAAUUGUUGCAGAAGCCCUUUUUAUUUAAAGGAAACAAUAUAAGAUUUUAAAUUUUGAAUCUUCCAAAAUAAAUCUUUUCAGUUUUGUAAAGUGGUACAUUGUGAAAUUUAUAAUUAGAAAAACAAAUCUUUUCUAAUAAUAAGGGACAUAACUCUCCAAUGGUAAAAAAAUACUAAACCCAUCAAAAUAAUUUAAAUGCUUAAAGCAGCUUUCAGAUUUGUUAGUUUGUAAAUACAAAAUUAGCCUCCUCCUGGCCAAAUGAAACCUUAUUAACUUUGUAAUAGAAUUUUCCAUGCCUAAAACACUUUUAUUGGAUAAAAAAUAUGAAGUAAAAACAGUGACCUUUAUAAUCUUAAGCUUUUUUGGUACGAGAAAAAAAAUUAUCAAAGGUACUUAUUAUUUGGCCACAACAUUUAAUAAUUUUUUAGACACCUAUUAUCACAGAAUAUAAUUUUUGCCAUCUUAAUUAUAUUGUUAAGUGUGUUGUUGGCAUGCUGUCUCAUUGAAAUAUACCUCAGAUCCUCUUUUUAUCUUAUUCAAGAUUUUCAGAAAAGCAAUUUAAAAAUCUGUUAAAGGUUUAUUCUCUAAAUAAAUAGAAUAAUUGGUCCAGUGAUCAAUGGAGAAUGUAAAUGAGAUGUGGUAAAAAUGCCAAUGAGAUGUGCUUAGAAUGCCAAUGAGAUGUGUUAAUACAACUAAUGAGAUGCGCUAAAGAAUGCAAAUGAAAUGUGGUAAAAAUGCCAAUGAGAUGUGGUUAUAAAGCUAAAGAUAUGUUGUAAUAAUGCUAAUGAGAUGUGGUAAUAAAGCUAAUGAGAUGUGGUAAUAAAGCUAAUAAGAUGUGGUUAUAAAGCUGAUGAGAUGCGCUAAGAAUGCAAAUGAGAUGUGGCUAUAAAGCUGAUGAGAUGUGCUAAGAAUGCAAAUGAGAUGUGGUAAUAGAGCUAAUGAGAUGCGCUAAGAAUGCAAAUGAGAUGUGGUUAUAAAGCUAAAGAUAUGUGGUAAUAAAGCUAAUGAGAUGUGGUAAUAAAGCUAAUGAGAUUUGGUUAUGAAGCUGAUGAGAUGUGCUAAAAAGGCAAAUGAGAUGUGGUAAUAGAGCUAAUGAUAUGUGCUAAGAAAGCUAAUGAGAUGUGGUAAUAAAACUAAUGAGAUGUGGUAGUAAAGCUAAUGAGAUGUGGUAAUAAAGCUAAUGAGAUGUGGUUAUAAAGCUAAAGAUAUGUUGUAAUAAUGCUAAUGAGAUGUGGUAAUAAAGCUAAUGAGAUGUGGUUAUAAAGCUGAUGAGAUGCGCUAAGAAUGCAAAUGAGAUGUGGUAAUAGAGCUAAUGAGAUGCGCUAAGAAUGCAAAUUAGAUGUGGUAACAGAGCUAAUGAUAUGUGCUAAGAAAGCUAAUGAGAUGUGGUAAUAAAGCUAAUGAGAUGUGGUUAUAAAGCUAAUGAGAUGUGGUAAUAAUGCUAAUGAGAUGUGGUAAUAAUGCUAAUGAGAUGCGCUAAUGAUUACUAAUGAGAUGUGGUAAUAAUGCCAAUGAGAUAUGGUUAGAAUUUUAAUGAGAUGUGGGUAGAAUGCCAAUGGGAUUUAGUAAGAAUGCCAAUGAGAAUUAUCCACCAGAGAUUGAGCCACAAGGCUGCAAGAACUAUCUUUCUUUCAUGUGAAUUUUGUGUAUACUUUGUAAGCUCCCCUACAGCUGAUAGUUAACAUUUUCAUCAAAUUAUGAUUUAAAUUAUUCUUUCUUUAAAUAAAAUUAUUUGGUAAUUAAACUUUUUUAAAUAAACAUUGAAAAAGCUUCUAAAUUUUCUGAAAAAAUUACAUUAAAUAGGCACUUUUGAAUUUUUUGCCUAUUUAAAAAAAAAUAUACCAGUAAUGGCACAAGGAUAGAAGAUGUGUGGAAUCAAAUAGGUAACAACUAUAGUGAUAAUGAAAUAUUCUAAUAAUAACCAGUUUUUUAAUGUCUUGACUUAAUGGACUUAUUGUAUGAUGAUAUAUGCGACCAGUUAGAAUAGUGGACAAUGAAAUAUUCAAACAUGGAACUGACUGAAGUUAAUAGACUUAAAAUUCAGAAUUGUAACCAGCAAGUGAAUUAUUGACAUUUAUUUUGAUGUGACCAGUAUUCAUGUGGAUGGACAGUACUAGUGGACUAUAAACUGAUAAAUCUCACAGAAAGGCACAUCACAACUGAGUCUGAAGCUGUUACAUACAAAAGACAAGAUAUCUAGGAAAUAAGAAUUGUAUGCGAUCUAUUUAAAGAUCUUAGGACAGUAGGACCUGGAAGUACUAUAUUACCAACUUCAAGAUUAACUGAGCUUGAGAAAUUACAAAUGAACUGAUACAGAAGAAGAGACUUUGCCAUGUGGAUGAACUUGGAAACAAUUAUUGACAAACAAUAAAGUGUAUUAGUAUUCUUGUAAAAAUCAAUAGAGAGAGAGAGAGAGAGGAAGGAUAGGAGAGAGUCAGUUGUAAAGAUUUAUCUCUUUUUAACCAGACAUGUCGAUUACAUUAGAAUUUCAGAGGCCUACAGUUCUCCCUUAAAUGAUCAUAGUUAAUACAUGAAGUAGUUAAAGUAGAGGACUUUAGUGUGACCAGUGAGAACAAUCAGGCAGCUGCCAUUGGUUUAAAUCUCUUUUUUCAAAGAUGUUUUGGUUACAUUAGAAUAAAUCUGUGAGGAAUGACAAAAAAAAUAUAAAAAUAAUAAUUUGUGGUAUUUUGUACAGUUUCAUUAUGCAAUCUUGAAUACAUUUAUGAUUACUAUUUAUAAAGAAGUAUUAUCAUUAGAAUGAGGAUGGAAAAUGUAUAAACAUUUAUUUGAGACAGUUUUGCAUUAUUUCAUUAAAAUAAUAAAUCCUUUUUUUGUGUGAAUGAAGGACAAACAGGGAAAACAGAAGCUAUUCUAUGAAUUUUUAAAUUGUAUUUAUUUAAAUUUGAUUGAUUAGUUGAAGAUUAACUACAAGUAUUCAGCAUAGUACAAAAUUAAGGAUGCACUGCAAGUGUAUAUUAUCUUUAUAGUUAUCAUCACACUAUGUCCAAUCUAGAUGUACAACACUCUUUUUUAUAGUGUUCUGUAAAUUAUCAGGAACACCAGUUGUGAUGAAUGGGAAGACUGGCAGGCUGAGAUUUAGGUAUAAGGGGAGGGAAUACCCCUGCUUAUCUUUUCAUACUGGUUAGUUCCUUUGGUAAAGGUUUUGUACAAAUGUUGUUCAUAUCAGAUGUAUACGAUUUGAAGAGAGUUGUUAUUUGGAGCUCUGUAAAAAAAAAAAAAAAAAAGAAAAAAAAAAAAAAGAAAGAAAAAAAAGAAAAAAAAAAUAAUUGCAAUCAGAGUUCUAGAUAAUAACUGGGUGGUAUGAAAUGUGGGUUAAAUAUUUUCGGUAUAUUUACAAUGAUUUUUUUUUUUUUAUGCAUCUGAUAUUUUUUGUGUAUAAAAUGUUUUGUUAUUUUUUACAGAAUUGCUUUAGUUGCCUUCCUGACUAACAUUUAUUUUGGUGAAUGGAGAGACUAGCAGGCUGAGAUUGAGGCGUAAGGGGAGGGAUUACCCCUGCUUUUCUCUUCGUACUUGUAAAUUCUGUCACUGCACGGAAGGUCAACAAUUUAGAAUAUAUAAGUUAUCAUUUUUUUAUUUAUCAAUGUAAGUUAGAUAAGUUAUAUCAGAUGUAUAUAAAGUAAGAUGAAAGUAUUCUUUAGAGCUCUGUAAAAAAAAAAGCUUGUAAACAGAGGUCUAGAUAAUGCAUUAAGGGGUUUGGUUUGGCAUGGGGAUUUCAAAUUUUAUUUACAAGUCAUCAUCUACAAAAAUGCAUCUGAUAUUAUUUGCCCCAAGCCCAAUUUCGUGUCCCAAAUAUAAUGACUACAGAAUAAUGGUGACAGCUUGGUCAACACCCUUAUUUUAAGUUUGAUUCACCCCUCCUUUCGUCACCCACCCCACCCCACCCCCACCCUUUUAAUAAGUAGUUAUAGGUUAAGGUUUCUUAUUGGGAUUAAUGAUUAAUUGAUUGAUUUUAAUUAAGUGUUACAGAAUUAUUAAGAUACUAAUUUCUGUGUAACAAGAUUAAUCUCCAAUAUUUGAAGGUGUUUUUGAUCAAGUUUUAUUAAACUCGAAAUGUUUAGUAUUUCAUCAGCUCUGUCGAACACAAAAUAGAUAUUUACCUCUAUAUAUCUGCAUUUUAUAUGCUACGAAAUUUUGCCUGUUUUACAAAGAUUUAUCUAACAAAAUGAAAAACCCUGUCCAUGAAAUUGAUUUAAUUGAACUUUCACACUGUUGAUAAUAACCCUGUUUUCGUUAUUCAUGACAAUUUUACAUGUGGUAGUCUCGAUGUAAUAUAUAGUUCUUCCACUAACAACCCUGUUUGUUCAUGACAAUUGUACUCUUGAAAUAUCUGUUACAAUUACACACCCAUGCUUUUUCCCUAUAGGGUUUUUUAAUGCAGGGUGCAUGUUUUUCUAUGUUACCAUAUGUUUGUCUCUCUUUUUAAUAAAGAACAAUUACAUAGAAA